rnacentral:lncRNA from 1 species
AAAUAAUGCUUAUAACAUGACAAGAAGUGAUAAAUGUCAAACUCCUGUUAAAGAGGAUGUGGUAGGGUCUGAUGAACUGGUUACUCCUAAAAUGCUUUUUGCGACUCACUUAAAAGUAGAUGAAAGGACAAAAUGUAUUUACGAAAAUUUUGAUUCUAAAAAAUAUAUACUUAGGUUUAUGGAAAAAAAAAUAAACGAAAAAAAUAAAAGUAAUAAUGAUAGUAACAGUAGCAUUAAAAAUAAAUUUGAUAUAAAAAAUGAAAUAUAUAAUGAUAAAUAUUUGGAACACACACAAAAUGUAGUGAUUGAUAAAGAUACAUUAGGAACAGUUAGUUAUAAUGAUGGGUUAAAUAAUUGUGAUAAUGAGAAAAUAAACAUGGAUAUAAGCCAUGACAUGGUGGGAAGUAAAAACGUCGGUACAGGAACAGGUAGUGGAACUGUAGAUGACAGUGCUCCUAAUGUAUUAGAUGAAAAAAAAUACAAUGAAGAGUUUAAAUUUUUAAGGAUACACCCAUUUCAUUUGAAGCGGUGGUAUAGAUUUUUAGAAAUGUACGAAAAAGAAGAGGGUUAUGAACAAUUUUUAAUUAUAUUUCCAAGAUGUACAUAUUAUUGGAUAAGAUAUGCAGAAUUAAAAAUAAAAAAAGAAAAAUAUGAAGUAGCGUAUGAACUAUAUCGUAAAUGUAUUGAUUCAAAUAUAUACGAUUUAAAUUUAUGGUUAUCUUUUUUAUAUUUUUCAUACCAUACAUCUUCAAUACAUGAGUAUAUAAGUUUUUUAUUUGAGAGUUUAAAACAUGUAGGCACAGAUAUAAAAUCAGGAAGUAUAUGGGUUGAGUUGUUACAUAUAUUAAUAAAAAUAUAUAAUACUAAUUUAUUAGUGAACAAUGACAUACAAAAUUUAUUACCUGACCCAUUUAAAAGUACAGGUAUAAAUUCAAGAAACAAAAAUGAUUGUCAUUUGAUACCAACAUUGACAGAGCAAGCUAUAUAUAAAUCACAGAUACCCAAUACUAGUAGUUUCCUUUCUAAUAAUAGCAGUAUAAAUAGUAAUAAUGUUACAUAUAUUGAAUAUUAUACACAUGAAAAUAAAUUAAAAAAGUAUUAUUUAAGUUGGAUGAAUACUGCUACGAAAUAUAUGGACAAAGCAUGGAAAUGUUUUUGUAUCUAUGAAAAAAGUAUUAGUGAUAAUUUUGUGAAUAGCUCUUUAUCAACAUACAAUAGUCAAUAUAUGAGCUGUAAAAAUGCAUAUAAGGAAUUGUGUUUAUUGUAUAAAGAGUUGAAUGAUUUUGAUAAGAAAAAACGUUAUAAUGGUAAAAAUAAUAAAAAAGGAAAUAGUUACAAAAAUGUUAUAAUAAUUCCAUUUAAUAACAAAAAAUGUAAAAUAAAAAAUUAUUUGUUAUAUAAUAAAUGGUUAAAUAUUAUAAAUUACGAAAAAACAAAUCCGUUAAAUUUGG